UCACCCCUCAAGCCCCGUGCUUGGUGUUGGACGGCCGGUCGAGCGAUCGACCCCUCCUAAAGACAAUGACGGCGGCCUGUGGUUCCCCCGGUACACUGAGCUUUUAACGGAGCACGUACCGGACCAGGGCACCCGGGACCCGGUCCCCUCUCCUUUCACUAGGAAACUUCUAA
rnacentral:misc_RNA from 1 species